rnacentral:misc_RNA from 1 species
AUAACGCUCACAUUUCGCGUUCCAUCUCUGUGAGCUCACUUGCUGUUGCUUUCGCUCUCUUCCUCUGCUUUGGGUUCCACUCUCCAGAUCUGAACCUAAAACUCGCAAGGUUUUAAAUUUCCUUUUUCUAGAACAUGGGUCGUGGAGUUAGCAGUGGUGGAGGUCAAAGCUCAUUGGGCUAUCUGUUUGGGAGUGGAGAGGCUCCAAAGCCUUCCAUAGACAAUGCCCAACAUGCUUCAAAUGAUGGCCAAGCAGUGAAUAAGUUGCCUCCCUCCAAACCUGCUGUUACUCCUCAGCCAGUAGAUGCUACCAAGCAGAUACCAGCUGGUAUUAAUAGUUCUUCUGCAAACAACUACAUGCGGGCAGAUGGCCAGAAUACUGGAAACUUCCUCACGGUAUGAUUUUUAGUGAUUAUGCUAUCCUUGUUUUGCAAAGUGCAAAUAGUCUACCAUCUGCAUUUGUUGUCUAUGCGGUGUUUUAGUUGUUGUAAAUUUGUUCAGCUUCAUGAUGUCUCAUGAAUCUUUUUAAGAUGAAGCAACAUACUUGAUUGAAUUUCUGUAAGGUUUCAUUUGUUUUCUUGGAAUGAAGUGGAACUACCUGGCUGAGGACUACCAUGCAUAAAUACAUACAGAAGCAGUAUCUUUUCAAUUUAUUACACAUAAUAUUUGUUGUUGUAAAGUUCUGAGAUAUGUGCGGUAUGUAUUCUGUAUUUGUAGCAAGAGAAAAUUCUUGUGUAAAAUUUCCACUCAGUGAAAGGUAGACAUUUUCUUAGGUGUUUUUAGACUCCUUGCCAUGCAACUUCCAAACCUAUUAAUCUGUUUUUGAAGUCAAAAGCCCUCUCCAGUGUUCUACGGUGGGACUUCUAAGCUUAGAAGUAUUGUAUUUUAGCUGAUAACUGUUUCUCCUUCUUUGUCUCUCUGUUUCUAAAAUGAUUCUGGUGGUAGCAUGCACUUCAUAAGUUGUGACUAGAUAAUUAGGGUUUGUUUAGCAUUGUUGUUAGAGCUACUGUUCAGAAAAAAAAAACUUUUUUAAAUCUUAAAUAUAUUAUUUGG